rnacentral:rRNA from 1 species
CGAAGGGGCGUAGCGUUGCUCGGAAUCACUGGGCGUAAAGGGCGCGUAGGCGGCCAUUCAAGUCAGAGGUGAAAGCCCAAGGCUCAACCUUGGAAUUGCCUUUGAUACUGUUUGGCUUGAGACCGGAAGAGGUAAGUGGAACUGCGAGUGUAGAGGUGAAAUUCGUAGAUAUUCGCAAGAACACCAGUGGCGAAGGCGGCUUACUGGUCCGGUUCUGACGCUGAGGCGCGAAAGCGUGGGGAGCAAACAGGAUU